rnacentral:tRNA from 1 species
GGGGGUAUAGCUCAGUUGGUAGAGCAGCUGGCUUUUAACCAGUUGGUCACAGGUUCAAGUCCUGUUGCCCCUA